rnacentral:rRNA from 1 species
AUGCCGUGGUUACUGAUUGGGGACCUGAAUGAAAUUCAAUUCUUGUCUGAAAAGGAAGGAGGAAACCCGAGACCGCCGCAGUACAUGCAUGCCUUCCACUCGGCGAUUGACGACUGUGAAUUGCGGGACAUGGGUUAUAUAGGUGAUCGGUUCACAUGGCAGAGGGGUGGAAUCAGGGAGAGGUUGGACAGAGGGCUAAUCAACGCCGCUUGGGAAGCUAUGUACCCAUCGGCAGCAUUGCAAAACAUGCUAUACAAUCACUCGGACCAUCGUCCAAUUUUGGUUGAUACAGAGUACUAUGCUCCAGCGCACGGUGGUGGAGAACGUACAAAGUGCUUUGAAGCAAGAUGGCUAAGGGAAAGAGAUUUCCCGGAGCUAGUACAAGAGGCAUGA